rnacentral:rRNA from 1 species
UACGGAGGGGGCGAGCGUUAUUCGGAAUUAUUGGGCGUAAAGGGCGCGUAGGCGGCUUGACAAGUCAAAUGGUGAAAUCCCUCGGCUCAACUGAGGAACUGCCUUUGAAACUGUCUGGCUUGAGGCCGGGAGGGGGUAGCGGAAUUCCCAGUGUAGCGGUGAAAUGACGUAGAUACUGGGAGGAACACCAGUGGCGAAGGCGCUAACCUGGACCGGUUCUGACGCUGAGGCGCGAAAGCGUGGGUAGCAAACAGG